AGUAAAAGUCGUAACAAGGUUUCCGUAGGUGAACCUGCGGAAGGAUCAUUACAGAAAUCGUGAGCGGGGGAAACCUCGUUUGCUUUUCAUCCACCCCUAUGUGAACCAUCGCGUGGGUUAGUACGGGUCUCGAAGAUCCGGAAGGCCCGCGUCUUUUCUAUAUACCCCUUAGAAAGUCUCAGAAUGUAAUCUGCGUCCAACGCAUAAAUACAACUUUCAGCAACGGAUCUCUUGGCUCUCGCAUCGAUGAAGAACGCAGCGAAAUGCGAUAAGUAAUGUGAAUUGCAGAAUUCAGUGAAUCAUCGAAUCUUUGAACGCAACUUGCGCCCCUUGGUAUUCCGAGGGGCACGCCUGUUUGAGUGUCGUGAAUUCCUCCACCCUUUCGCUUUGUUGUGAAAGGGAUGGGAUUUGGGGGCUUUGCGGGAUCCCUCUAGAGUCCGCUCCCCUUGAAUGCAUUAGCGAAAAGACCCUCGUGGCCUCGGUGUGAUAAUUAUCUACACCGUCCGGACGCGAAUAGACUUUUGCUUCCAAUCGUCUUCGGACAAACACAUUUGAAACUUGACCUCAAAUCAGGCGGGACUACCCGCUGAACUUAAGCAUAUCAAUAAGCGGAGGA
rnacentral:rRNA from 1 species